rnacentral:rRNA from 1 species
CUUGGUCAUUUAGAGGAAGUAAAAGUCGUAACAAGGUCUCCGUUGGUGAACCAGCGGAGGGAUCAUUACAGAGUUGCAAAACUCCCUAAACCAUCGCGAACGUACCUUUACCGUUGCUUCGGCGGAGCCCUCACGGGCGCCCGCCGGCAGCGCUACAAACUCUUUUAUUACAGGCCUCUCUGAGUAUUUAUACAAAUAAGUUAAAACUUUCAACAACGGAUCUCUUGGUUCUGGCAUCGAUGAAGAACGCAGCGAAAUGCGAUAAGUAAUGUGAAUUGCAGAAUUCAGUGAAUCAUCGAAUCUUUGAACGCACAUUGCGCCCGCCAGUAUUCUGGCGGGCAUGCCUGUUCGAGCGUCAUUUCAACCAUCAAGCCCCAGGCUUGCGUUGGGGUCCUGCGGCUGCCGCAGGCCCUGAAAAACAGUGGCGGGCUCGCUGUCACACCGAGCGUAGUAAUACAUCUCGCUUUGGACGUGCGGCGGGUUCUUGCCGUUAAACACCCCCCUUCUCAAGGUUGACCUCGGAUCAGGUAGGAAUACCCGCUGAACUUAAGCAUAUCAAUAAGCGGAGGA